rnacentral:lncRNA from 1 species
CUUGAUGUUCUCGAGCUUGAGAAUUUUGCGAGGGCAUUGCGAUUGCACUGGCCAUGGCUUGAGUGGGCCAAUACGACCAAGUUGUGGGUUGUAAUGGGCAACCCUUGUGAUGUUGCAUGUACAUCCCGAUAGAAAAUGGCACCAAGAUGCCUUUCUAGUACGCGUCAUGGCUAGAUGGAAGGAGAACGAAAGACAUUGUCCCCCUUGUGUAUUAGGACUCAAAGAAAAAAAAGUAAGCAAUAUGACUUCGACAUGCCCUUAAUGGGAAUGCGUGGAUA